AUUGAACGCUGGCGGUAUGCUUAACACAUGCAAGUCGAACGGUAGCAGGCCUUCGGGCGCUGACGAGUGGCGACGGGUGAGUAACGCGUAGGAAUCUGCCUCAUAGUGGGGGACAACGUGGGGAAACUCACGCUAAUACCGCAUACGCCCUACGGGGAAAGCGGGGGAUCUUCGGACCUCGCGCUAUGAGAUGAGCCUGCGUUAGAUUAGCUAGUUGGUAGGGUAAAGGCCUACCAAGGCGACGAUCUAUAGCUGGUCUGAGAGGACGAUCAGCCACACUGGGACUGAGACACGGCCCAGACUCCUACGGGAGGCAGCAGUGGGGAAUAUUGGACAAUGGGCGCAAGCCUGAUCCAGCAAUACCGCGUGUGUGAAGAAGGCCUUAGGGUUGUAAAGCACUUUCAAUUGGGAGGAAAACCUGUCGGUCAAUACCCGGCAGCUUGACAUUACCUUUAGAAGAAGCACCGGCUAACUCCGUGCCAGCAGCCGCGGU
rnacentral:rRNA from 1 species